rnacentral:rRNA from 1 species
GCGUGAGCGAAGAAGGCCUUCGGGUCGUAAAGCUCUGUUGUUAGGGAAGAACAAGUAUCGGAGUAACUGCCGGUACCUUGACGGUACCUAACCAGAAAGCCACGGCUAACUACGUGCCAGCAGCCGCGGUAAUACGUAGGUGGCAAGCGUUGUCCGGAAUUAUUGGGCGUAAAGCGCGCGCAGGCGGUCCUUUAAGUCUGAUGUGAAAGCCCACGGCUCGACCGUGGAGGGUCAUUGGAAACUGGGGGACUUGAGUGCAGAAGAGGAGAGUGGAAUUCCACGUGUAGCGGUGAAAUGCGUAGAGAUGUGGAGGAACACCAGUGGCGAAGGCGACUCUCUGGUCUGUAACUGACGCUGAGGCGCGAAAGCGUGGGGAGCAAACAGGAUUAGAUACCCUGGUAGUCCACGCCGUAAACGAUGAGUGCUAAGUGUUAGAGGGUUUCCGCCCUUUAGUGCUGCAGCUAACGCAUUAAGCACUCCGCCUGGGGAGUACGGCCGCAAGGCUG